AUUGAACGCUGGCGGCAUGCUUCACACAUGCAAGUCGAACGGUAACAGGCCGCAAGGUGCUGACGAGUGGCGAACGGGUGAGUAAUGCAUCGGAACGUGCCCAGUCGUGGGGGAUAACUGCUCGAAAGAGCAGCUAAUACCGCAUACGAUCUAUGGAUGAAAGCGGGGGACCGUAAGGCCUCGCGCGAUCGGAGCGGCAGAUGUCAGAUUAGGUAGGUGGUGGGGUAAAGGCCUACCAAGCCGACGAUCUGUAGCUGGUCUGAGAGGACGCCCAGCCACACUGGGACUGAGACACGGCCCAGACUCCUACGGGAGGCAGCAGUGGGGAAUUUUGGACAAUGGGCGCAAGCCUGAUCCAGCCAUGCCGCGUGCGGGAAGAAGGCCUUCGGGUUGUAAACCGCUUUUGUCAGGGAAGAAAUCUUCUGGGUUAAUACCUCGGGAGGAUGACGGUACCUGAAGAGUAAGCACCGGCUAACUACGUGCCAGCCGCCGCUGUAAAAC
rnacentral:rRNA from 1 species